UAACGAUGAAAGCUUCUAGCUUGCUAGAGAGUGGAUUAGUGGCGCACGGGUGAGUAAUGCAUAGGUAACAUGCCCUUUAGUCUGGGAUAGCCACUGGAAACGGUGAUUAAUACUAGAUACUCCCUACGGGGGAAAGUUUUUCGCUAAAGGAUUGGCCUAUGUCCUAUCAGCUUGUUGGUGAGGUAAUGGCUCACCAAGGCUAUGACGGGUAUCCGGCCUGAGAGGGUGAUCGGACACACUGGAACUGAGACACGGUCCAGACUCCUACGGGAGGCAGCAGUAGGGAAUAUUGCUCAAUGGGGGAAACCCUGAAGCAGCAACGCCGCGUGGAGGAUGAAGGUUUUAGGAUUGUAAACUCCUUUUGUUAGAGAAGAUUAUGACGGGAUCUCACGAAUAAGCACA
rnacentral:rRNA from 1 species